UUAAAAAAUAUCAUAUGAUAGCGCCUAUUAGAAAAACGCUAUUAUAUUUUAACAUAAAAUAGCGUUUCCUAGGACGCGCUAUCAUAUGUUAACAUUCUUUUAACAGGGCUUUUAAACAAAACGUUUUCAAAAGGUAUAUUUAAAAAAAAAAAAAAAAAAACUAAAACUAAAAAAAAGAACCGCCUAACACAAAAUCUUUCCCACGUUUCUUUCCUUCACUCUGCAAAAACCACAAACCAAAAACCUCAAACCUAAGACUCCAUAGACGGCGAAACCUACCACGACCCUCUACGCGGCGGCGAUUGACGGUGGUGGAGAUUUAGGUGGCGGCGUAAUCUUUUCCAGGUGGCACUUCUUCCGACGGAAUUUUGAAUUUCAAGGUUGGUUCUAUUUCUGAUACUGCUGCGUCCCUGGUUGCUAGAAUUCAGGUGACACGGCACUAUAGAUUUUCUUUUUCAGUGUCUUGUGAAUCUGGUAUGAUGGAAACGGGAUAUAUCAAUCAAUGGCUUCUUCACAACAGCAUACCACUGAAUUUGUUCCCCUCCCAAAGAAAGGAAAAGAAGAAAAAGGUCGUGGAGCCACUAAAAUGAGUAAAGUUGUUCGAGCAAGGAAUAAGGUGCUCAAAUUUCAGGUUAAUUGGAAUAUCAAUGAUUUACCAAUUGGUAAACACAGUGUACCUAUGAUGAGUUAUUGGGAAACUAGCAUCCG